AUACUAGAGUAGCACUCGCAUAUCAAUAAGCGGAGGAAAAGGAACUAACAAGGAUUCCCCUAGUAACGGCGAGUGAAGCGGGAAGAGCUCAAAUUUGAAAUCUUAAAGGGUUUCCCUUUACGAAUUGUAGUUUAAAGAAGUGUUUUCUGUUGAGGUUUUGGUAAAAGUUCUUUGGAAUAGGACAUCAUAGAGGGUGAGAAUCCCGUAUUUGACCUUUACUUUCAACUUUGUGAUACACUUUCAAAGAGUCGGAUUGUUUGGGAAUGCAGUCCAAAAUGGGUGGUAAAUUUCAUCUAAAGCUAAAUAUUGGCGAGAGACCGAUAGCGAACAAGUACCGUGAGGGAAAGAUGAAAAGAACUUUGAAAAGAGAGUUAAACAGUACGUGAAAUUGUCAAAAGGGAAGCGUUUGACACCAGUGUUGUUUUUCUGAAAAUCAAUUAAAGAACUGUUUAUGCUAAGUUGUUUAGACUUUAUCAGCUAACUGUUUAGUUUUGAGCUUUUCUUUAAUGCACUUUUCAGUUAACAAGUCAACAUCAAUUUCUUUUGCUGUAAAAAAGCUUGAGGAAGGUGGCUUGAGAUUCGUCUUAAGUGUUUAUAGCCUCUUGCCUAUGCAGUCGGAGAGAUUGAGGUCUGCAGCGUAGAUCCUUCGGGGCUAAAUGCAUUUGUGCUAAGUUAUAGCAUUUUACAGACAACUUGUUGACUAUGAUUUGUCUUGUAGCUUACUCGCUUAUGUUAUUUUACCUACGCUUAGGAUGUUGAUCUCUCACAGUCGAGC
rnacentral:rRNA from 1 species